AAUGCACCCGGAAGGAGAUCAUGGGACGGGAAGUGGGCAGACAAUAUAGGACCAUGCAUGAAAGUAGCACUAUCCAUUCACAGAUUGUUUGUGUAUAAGCUAAUCCAAUCAUGCGGAGACGCGUGUGUUAAUCAAGGGUAUAAGAAGCGCGCGUAAGAUCAAGCACCGGCCGGCCAGCCCUGUAACUUCAAUAAAGAAACUUGCUUCCACAUCACCGUGUCGUGACUCAACAGCGACAUCUGGUGACCGCGACGUGAUAUAGCGAGCGAUUUUAUGAGAGUUUUAAUUUUGGGGUUCCCCGAGGUGGCAUAGCCACUAUAAAAGAGUUUUCGGCAAAAAUAGCCAAGAGGAGCGGCGAGAGAAGCUGCUCAAAGAGUUUUCGGCAAAAAUAGCCAAGAGGAGCGGCGAGAGAAGCUGCUCAAAGAGUUUUCGGCAAAAAUAGCCAAGAGGAGCGGCGAGAGAAGCUGCUCAAAGAGUUUUCGGCAAAAGUAGCCAAGAGGAGCGGCGAGAGAAGCUGCUUAAUUCCGGAUCCGGGACUUUUAAGAAGCCACCGAGUGCAGGGUAUGCUUGUGUUUCCACAGAUGAAGGACCUUGGUGGUACCCUGCUCGUUGUGUUCGCCCUGCUGUGGAUAAGCCACGGAGGCCACGUGUGGAGAAUCAAACAGCUGGAGACGAGUGUGAUGGAUAGCCCUUGCUAACAUCAAAGAACUGCCAUAACAACUGGAGUAUAAGUCGUAUAUCGGAACCACAGACUAGAGCUGUUAGGAUCAGUAGAGACGGAGUAUAAGUCACUGUUUGUAUACUUUUCAGAUGCACCUACGAUAUUACUCAGCGUGGUCAAAUAUUGAUGCUGCUUUGCUUCCCUGUUUCAAGAAUGGGUAUGUUUGUAGUUGUGCUGUCGAUGUUGCCCUGCAUUGUGUGUCUGCUGCGAAGGGCCCCGCAGCAGCCGACACAGGCAAUCUUUAACGGGCAAUUUUCUUCAGCACAAAUACAAAAAGGGGGAAUUGUGGGGUCCACAGCAGGCUGAGGACCCCUGAUUAAUGCACCCAGAAGGAGAUCAUGGGACGGGAAGUGGGCAGACAAUAUAGGACCAUGCAUGAAAGUAGCACUAUCCAUUCACAGAUUGUUUGUGUAUAAGCUAAUCCAAUCAUGCGGAGACGCGUGUGUUAAUCAAGGGUAUAAGAAGCGCGCGUAAGAUCAAGCACCGGCCGGCCAGCCCUGUAACUUCGAUAAAGAAACUUGCUUCCACAUCACCGUGUCGUGACUCAACAGUGACAG